UACGUAGGGGGCAAGCGUUAUCCGGAUUUACUGGGUGUAAAGGGAGCGUAGACGGCCAAGCAAGUCUGAAGUGAAAACCCAAGGCUCAACCAUGGGACUGCUUUGGAAACUGUUAGGCUAGAGUGCAGGAGAGGUAAGUGGAAUUCCUAGUGUAGCGGUGAAAUGCGUAGAUAUUAGGAGGAACACCAGUGGCGAAGGCGGCUUACUGGACUGUAACUGACGUUGAGGCUCGAAAGCGUGGGGAGCAAAC
rnacentral:rRNA from 1 species